UAUAUAUAUAUAUAUAUAUAUCUAUGAACUCAAAGAUACCACUAUUAAUCUAGCCAUGACGUUGUAAUUCAACACAAGUUGAGCAUCCAACCAGCGGAUUUUACCAGCAGUGCAAGGGUUUGACAAUUGAAAAGGAACCAUGGAGGGAGGCCAAUAUUCUCAUCGAACCUCUUGCUGAUUUUUAUUUGUUCUUGCUGUGUCUUGAGUCUUGAGAUAUCUUAUUGUUGUAAUUCUUGCACGAAAUAGAUCAGAUCUGACAUCUUAACCGUCUCUCUCUGUUACAUUUCAUGAUCUCGAAGCUGUUCGUUUUAUGAGUUUGAACUUAUUGUGCAGCCAUUUAUGUAAAUCAGAUCUAUCAAUAUUUGGAUCGGGUCCCAAAUCCCAAUUAGAUCUUCGGUUCUGUGUCAGUUUGAAGUUUCUCUUGCAGGCCAUUCUUGUUGGUGUGAAAGAGGCAUGGGUUCUUUUGGUUUGUCUGUUUAGCAUAUUUGGAAAUUGUCCCUGUGAUAGAUAGAUACAUACAUGCAUAUGCGUAUAUAUAUAUUUUUUUAUAGGAGAGCAGAGUUGACAACAAAUUAGAAGUUAAUUGUUUGUACUUUUACUUGUACUUACUAUAAGUUUUAUCACCGAAGACAGUAUUUAUUGUCUGGAUUGUGUGUUCCUUACUAGUUUAUUUCAUUCUUUUACUAAAAAAUUCACCCCCUUUUAACCGUAAAAAUUUUCCCCCAAUUUUUUAAGGUGAAAUUGAUGCACGGUCAUUGUUCUUGCAGUACAACUUCAGGGGAAAAUCAUUCAUGGGAAAGUUUGUGUUUUUGUCUGAUACAUCAUUGUCGGCACGUGUUGUUCAUUUCAAAUCUGCGAUGUCAUACAAGACCCAGUACAAGAAUCGAGUAUGCCAGCUUGAGUUUGUUGAGCGUCUGUUUUGUGAUACCCUCUCUAAACUACAGCUCUUCCUAAGCUUUCUCUUGUUUUUGGCAUAAAUAUAUCUCAAUGUAUUUCUGCAGAAGCAAAGCUUACAUGUCUGUGAGCAUGCAUAAGUUGAACUGAUGUGUGUAACAUUAUGUCAUGAGGAACGAUAGAUUCAAGGAAUAAUCAAGAGAUGGGCUUCAAGUCCUAAAUCCCAAUGGCAACUUUGUUCUGUGCAGGAAUAAAUAGUUCUUAUGCAAAUAUUUGUUCGUCCCCAUGCAAAUAUUUCCUCUCUCUCUACAGAUCAGUUCAAUAGGUCGAUGAACUUUCUUUGGAGCAUCAAGUGACUCUUCUGAUGACACAGAAGGGAAAAUCGAAGGACGAGAUGCAUUUUAUACCACUAUUGUGAUCCUGCUAUUCUAUAUGUAAUUAUAUGGUAACUGACAGUGCAGAAAGCGAUUUUGGUUGCAUGGAGUCUAAUAUGGCGGAUACGAGCAGUUUAUUGGAUGCAAGAUGGAAUGGCCAUCAAUGUUUAUGUAUAGUGGCUUUCAUCCUGUGCAAAUGUGAAACAAUAAUUGUUCAUUUCAAGAUAUUUGUCAUUGUCCCUAAUAGCCAA